rnacentral:rRNA from 1 species
GAUGAACGCUAGCGAUAGGCUUAACACAUGCAAGUCGAGGGGCAGCACGAAUUAGCAAUAGUUUGGUGGCGACCGGCGCACGGGUGCGUAACACGUAUACAACCUACCUUCAAUUGGGGGAUAACCUGGAGAAAUUCGGACUAAUAUCCCAUAGUAAACAGAAGAGGCAUCUUUUUUGUUUUAAAGAUUUAUUGAUUGGAGAUGGGUAUGCGUAGGAUUAGCUAGUUGGUAAGGUAACGGCUUACCAAGGCGACGAUCCUUAGGGGUUCUGAGAGGAAGGUCCCCCACACUGGUACUGAGACACGGACCAGACUCCUACGGGAGGCAGCAGUGAGGAAUAUUGGUCAAUGGUCGAGAGACUGAACCAGCCAAGUCGCGUGAAGGAAGACGGCUCUAUGAGUUGUAAACUUCUUUUGUACAGGAGUAAAGUGAGACACGAAG